CAUUCACGAAAACUUGAGGUGUGAACGGGAUUAGAUACCCCAUUAGUUCACGUAAUAAAUUAUGGCUUAUUGUGGUUUGAGAUUGUAUUUAACAAUUGAAGGAUGUAAACCUAAGAAGUAUGCUUUCAUAAGUGAAACUUAAAUGUUUUGAUGGUGAUUUAAAACAAUGGUGGAACAUAUGAUU
rnacentral:rRNA from 1 species